AUGCACUCGCCAGUUCUCCCCGUUCUGUGGCAGCGACCUCGUUACCUAUAGCAACGACUGUGUGUUUUGUCAGCAGAAAGCCCAUCUAAGAUCACGUGGUCUUCCCUUGGCUCUUCUACAUAAAGGGUUCUGUACAGCGCGGCCCACACCGAGGCCAGUUAUUUAUAGACCAACCACGACAACGAGGGCGCCUUUAACAUACAGAUCCACAACGAGGCGGCCGAUCUUCAGGCCGACCGCGAGACCACCACGUGACUUCCGCAAGCUGAUGAAAUUCUUCUUCAACUUCUACACGUCAUGGUGGCACAGACGAGUGCUCAGCAAUCGAAACAGAUUUGGAUGAUGAUUUUCUGUCGCAGCUACGAUCGUCACAGUUAAGACCGUCAUUAUUGGACAAUACCCCGGUGCUUCUCAACUCAUCAACUACUAGCUUAUCAUAGACUGAAUACACCAUCAACAUCUUCAUCACAACAACCGUUACGACUACGUACAACAACUACAACAACUACAGCAGCAUACAAUUUCCAGUGUUUCAGUUAUUGAAAUGUAUUCUCUGCCGAUACCGAGCGCUCGCCAAACUGACUGGUGUCUAAUUCGCAGAGCUCUAGUUAGCAACAUCUCAUUUUGUUUUACAUUGCACUGAACUCUCGCAAUAUUGCGAUUUCGAAAUAUGAAUAGAUUGCCAAAGACGAUGCGAUGUUAGGUCUACUGAAGAGAGCUUAAAAGAGCUUUGUGAAUUUUUGUUGUUGCGACUAAUGUUAAAUGAAUGAGAUUAGGUAGGAUGGGAUGGAUACCAGUCAAACUGUUCGCAAGCGCUCUCCCUCCUGAACUCGCCAAAGAUCAGAUUAUUCGCUUGUUAGAUGAGUUAGGCUUUGAUGACUUGUUUUGGUUGUAAUUUCUUCUUGUUUUGUUUUUAAUUUAUGAACCAUUGAUGUCUAAAUAAAUGU